ACCACCGAGUCCCCCGAGGCCCGCCCUCAGCGUGUCUUAUUCCAUUUUGAAGUCCCUGCCAUGCGGCAACACCUCGGUCACCUCACCACGGGCAUCAAGGGAAGUAGAAGGGUCCCGUUCCGCCAGCAGGGAGCGGCAGAGUUGGUACCACUGAGACAGAUCAGCCAUGUCCGUGUGAUGAGAACAGACGGAAUUCCAGCUAUCACAGAGAGAAAGACAGGAAUGAAAGGACUGUUGUGCCAAAGCAGUGACUCCCCAAGGAUAUGCAAACAGCAUCCAGAGCGACGUCGCGAUGAGAGUGCAGAGAUGCCCUGGGUUUGAGGCUGCGCUGGACGCCCCAGGUUCUGUCAUCUUCACAUCCUUCUCUCGAUGAUUCACAUGUCCAAUGUGCCAGCUGGAGGCCAACAACACAGGAUAACUGGGAGCACCAACACUGCCUCGGAUACUUCCCUGUCAGGGAUGCUCCUCUCACACAGGCUGGUUAGAAAGCCAAGUGCUUGGUCCCGAUUCCUAGAACAGAGCAGCUGACCUUGGCUUCCCCUCCUGACCUGCCCAAGAUACAAGCCAAAAGGUCACAGAGCUCGGCAGUGAACUGGGACGGAGCACAUUGGUGGCCUCGUUCUUCUCUGAGAAUUCCAAACCAUUCAUAUCAGCUACUCAUCUCCUUGCUAUAAUGGAAGACCGGACAAGACCAACUUAAGAAAGGAAGGGUUUAUUUGGGUGGUCUGAGAGUGCAGUCCAGCAUGGUAGAAAAGGUAUGGCUACAGAAAUAUGGGGUAGUUUGUCACUCUGCAUCUGCAGUCAGGCACUCAGGGCUCAACUCACUUUCCUCUUUUUAGUCAGUCCCAGUACCCAGCCCACAGGAUGGAGCUGCCCACAUACAGGGUGGGUCUUCCCUCCUCAGUUGAACCUUUCUGGAAACAUCGUCACAGGCACAUCCAGAGGUGUGUCUCCCAGGUGACUCCAAAUCCAAACAAGCUGACCCUGACCAUGAAGAUGAGCUAUCAGCCAUCUUUCUCCUACCAUGUUCUUGAAUCCUCUACCAGUACAGUUUUCAAAAUCUCUCUAGGGAAAAGACUGAAGGCAGGUGCCUUACUUCUGCACCCAUCUUAGUUCUUUCAAAUAUCAGCAGUGUCUGGAAACAUGAGUAGGGUGGAGAACAACAGUGCACACCAUUAUGGGAGGCUGUGGGCUCCAUGUGGCAUAGAUUGCUCAGCACUGAUAGACUCUAAGUGAGAUGGAAACGGAAUGAUGUAAGAAUGAUGUAAGAAAGGGGUGGAUCCAAUGUCCAGAUGAUGUAAGAAGAGGCAGGCCCAAUGUCCAGAUGACAUAAGAAGGGUUGGAUCCAAUGUUCAAGUGAUAUAAGAAAGGGGCGGAUCCAAUGUCCAAAAGAAGGGAGCAGGCUCAAUGACCAGAUGAUGGAAAGAAGGGGGCGGACACAAUGUUGCUGAUGUAAGGGGGCACACACAACAUCAAGCUAAUGUAAGAAGGGGGGAACCCAAAGUCCAGCUGAUUAAGAAGAGAGCGAAGCCAGUGUCCAGCAGACCCCCAAGCCAGUCUAGGGUUGCUUGGAUGACCUCUGUCCCUGAUUCUCCGUCAUGAGUUCAUUCUUCUGUGGAUCUUUUACCACCUUUUGUUUAUUUGCUGAAAACAAAACGGAGUGUAGCAUCCUGCGCUGUCCACCCCUCUACAUGGCACGUUCUCGCAGCUUCUGUGGGAUUGCACACAGCCUGGUAGUGAGGGUGGGAAUCCCUCCCACCCCCUCACUCCUCUAACUCUGACCCCUCAGCUCAUCACCUGAGUAGGGAUGAUAAGUGGACAUGACCAGCAGCAUCACCAUGGCUGCCCGCGGAUCCCGUCUCCUGGGAGAUGUUAAUAGACACAGCUACCUUGAGCCCCAAGGGUCCAUGAGUAGACACCCCCUUCCCUGCCCAAGGUACUAAGCCAUUGUCCCCUGUCUGCCUUUCUUGAAAAUGACCCCAGCCAACUCCUGUUGAGUGCUGGUUGUCAGGGCAACAGGAAGAGGCACCAUCAGACUUCCACAAGAUGCACUUGAGAAUAAAGUGGGCACACUAAUCUAGACCUGU
rnacentral:lncRNA from 1 species